rnacentral:rRNA from 1 species
ACUCCUACGGGAGGCAGCAGUGGGGAAUUUUGGACAAUGGGCGAAAGCCUGAUCCAGCCAUGCCGCGUGCAGGAUGAAGGCCUUCGGGUUGUAAACUGCUUUUGUACGGAACGAAACGGCCUUUUCUAAUAAAGAGGGCUAAUGACGGUACCGUAAGAAUAAGCACCGGCUAACUACGUGCCAGCAGCCGCGGUAAUACGUAGGGUGCAAGCGUUAAUCGGAAUUACUGGGCGUAAAGCGUGCGCAGGCGGUUAUGUAAGACAGUUGUGAAAUCCCCGGGCUCAACCUGGGAACUGCAUCUGUGACUGCAUAGCUAGAGUACGGUAGAGGGGGAUGGAAUUCCGCGUGUAGCAGUGAAAUGCGUAGAUAUGCGGAGGAACACCGAUGGCGAAGGCAAUCCCCUGGACCUGUACUGACGCUCAUGCACGAAAGCGUGGGGAGCAAACAGGAUUAGAUACCCCUGUAGUCCCA